rfam:Myotis davidii contig154415, whole genome shotgun sequence.
GGUGGGGGCAGGAGGGUUCCUCAGCCCGGAUGCAAGAGGGUGCAGGCCAGGCUGAGGGACCCCAACAGUGCACA